CAUUAGUCGAGAGUUGGCCCCACUCUCCUGAUAAGUCUAAGGCAGGACGAAACUAAUG
rnacentral:sRNA from 1 species